rnacentral:rRNA from 1 species
UACGAAGGGGGCUAGCGUUGUUCGGAAUUACUGGGCGUAAAGCGCACGUAGGCGGACAUUUAAGUCAGGGGUGAAAUCCCAGAGCUCAACUCUGGAACUGCCUUUGAUACUGGGUGUCUAGAGUAUGGAAGAGGUGAGUGGAAUUCCGAGUGUAGAGGUGAAAUUCGUAGAUAUUCGGAGGAACACCAGUGGCGAAGGCGGCUCACUGGACUGGUAUUGACGCUGAGGUGCGAAAGCGUGGGGAGCAACAGGG